rnacentral:tRNA from 1 species
GGAUGGUUAGCUAAUCUGGUGAAAGCACUUGGUUGAAGCCCAAGGGAGGUUGGAUCGAAACCAACACCGUCCACCA